rnacentral:rRNA from 1 species
AACGAACGCUGGCGGCAGGCUUAACACAUGCAAGUCGAGCGCCCCGCAAGGGGAGCGGCAGACGGGUGAGUAACGCGUGGGAAUCUACCCAUCUCUACGGAAUAACGCAUGGAAACGCGUGCUAAUACCGUAUACGUCCUUCGGGAGAAAGAUUUAUCGGAGAUGGAUGAGCCCGCGUUGGAUUAGCAAGUUGGUGGGGUAUGGGUCUACCAAGGCGACGAUCCAUAGUUGGUGUGAGAGGAUGAUCAGCCACACUGGGGCUGAGACACGGCCCAGACUCCGGCGGGAGGCAGCAGUGGUGAAUAUUGGACUAUAGGCGCAAGCCUGAUCCAGCCAUGCCGCGUGAGUGAUGAAGGCCCUAUGGUUGUAAAGCUCUUUCACCGGUGAAGAUAAUGACGGUAACCGGAGAAGAAGCCCCGGCUAACUUCGUGCCAGCAGCCGCGGUAACAC